CUUGUACAGGUGCUGCAUGGCUGUCGUCAGCUCGUGUCGUGAGAUGUUCGGUUAAGUCCGCUAACGAGCGCAACCCUCGCUGUGUGUUACAAGUGUCACACGGAACUGCCGGUCAUAAACCGGAGGAAGGUGGGGAUGACGUCAAGUCAGCAUGGCCUUUAUAUCCUGGGCUACACACACGCUACAAUGGCCAACACAAUAGGUUGCUAAGCCGCGAGGUGGCGCCAAUCCAUAAAGUUGGUCUCAGUUCAGAUUGCAGGCUGCAACUCGCCUGCAUGAAGUUGGAGUUGCUAGUAACCGCAGGUCAGCUAUACUGCGGUGAAUACGUUCCCGGGGCUU
rnacentral:rRNA from 1 species